rnacentral:tRNA from 1 species
AAUUAAUAAGCUUUUAAAAGCAUUUGUUUUGAAAACUUAAGAAAGAAAAAUUACUUCUAUUAAUUU